UGCCAUUUCCCUAUACAGAUAAUCAGAUAUACAGCUCACGUUGUCUUAUUCUCCCAUUACUUUAUGGAACACUACAAUAAAAUGGUCAUUUUCCUAUACACAUAUAUAUCUCACACAACUUUAUUUUGCCUCUAUUUUAAUGAGUAAACUUAUGUCGUACAGCUCUGCAGCCCACACACCACUUUAGAGACUCCUCAUAUUUUAUUGCGCAACAAUUCACCCCUGCAUACAAUGCUGUUGCACAGCUGACAAAGCAAAAUCGUUGGCAUGAAAAGUGGGAACUAGGGCUAAUACUGGACAUCUGCAAGCACGCUAGCAGAUAUCCUACUCCUCAGUGGUUGGGCCUAAACAAUAUGAGUCUCCAUAUACAACCGAAAUAGCACUGUACUAUGCCAGCAGUGUCCAACCAAAUGGCAACCCAUCUAUAACUAAUGUCACUAAUCUUUUUCCUAAUGUAUAAUUGUAUCAUGUAUUAUAAUUCUGGCUUCCUGACCCGUGCGAAGCACGGGGAUA